rnacentral:lncRNA from 1 species
AUGGCACAUAUUUCAAAGUUUGAAUAUAUUUCAAUCAGAAGAAAUGCUCUCAUGAACUCACGCCUCUUGGCAUUUCUUAAUGUUGCACACGCUAAGAUCUUUGGGGUGACUUACAUUCCAUCAGGCCAUGGAACACUUUAAUUAUUGGGCCAUGCUGAUAAAGGGCUGAGAGGGCUUCUUGAUAGGCAUGGAAAUCAGAUUUAUCUAGAGCUUUAAGACUCUUUAACUGAUUAAAAAAAUUUUAGCCUUAUCCCUUGUGGCGCUAG